rnacentral:rRNA from 1 species
UACGGGGGGGCAAGCGUUGUUCGGAAUUACUGGGCGUAAAGGGCUCGUAGGCGGCCAACUAAGUCGGAUGUGAAAUCCCCAGGCUUAACCUGGGAACUGCAUCCGAUACUGGAUGGCUUGAAUCCGGGAGAGGGAUGCAGAAUUCCAGGUGUAGCGGUGAAAUGCGUAGAUAUCUGGAGGAACACCGGUGGCGAAGGCGGCAUCCUGGACCGGUAUUGACGCUGAGGAGCGAAAGCGUGGGAGCGAACAGG